AUUGAACGCUGGCGGCAUGCUUUACACAUGCAAGUCGAACGGCAGCACGGGGGCAACCCUGGUGGCGAGUGGCGAACGGGUGAGUAAUGCAUCGGAACGUAUCUUUAAGUGGGGGAUAACGCAUCGAAAGAUGCGCUAAUACCGCAUAAUCUCUGAGGAGAAAAGCAGGGGAUCGCAAGACCUUGCGCUUUUGGAGCGGCCGAUGUCUGAUUAGCAGUUGGUGAGGUAAAGGCUUACCAAGGCUUCGAUCAGUAGCUGGUCUGAGAGGACGACCAGCCACACUGGGACUGAGACACGGCCCAGACUCCUACGGGAGGCAGCAGUCGGGAAUCUUGCACAAUGGGCGAAAGCCUGAUGCAGCAACACCGUGUGAGCGAUGAAGGCCCUAGGGUCGUAAAGCUCUGUUUGUUGGGGGACGAAGGGCGAAGGGUUAAUAGCCCUAGCUUGACGGUACCCUUCGAGGAAGCUCCGGCUAACUACGUGCCAG
rnacentral:rRNA from 1 species